rnacentral:tRNA from 1 species
GGGUGUUGUUCAGUGAUAGAGCAUCUGCUUGUUAAGCACAAGGUCCUGGGUUAGAUUUCCAGCACCACCA